UACGGGGGAGCAAGCGUUGUUCGGAUUUACUGGGCGUAAAGGGCGCGUAGGCGGCACCGCAAGUCGACUGUGAAAUCUCCGGGCUUAACUCGGAAAGGUCAGCCGAUACUGCGGGGCUAGAGUGCAGAAGGGGCAACUGGAAUUCUCGGUGUAGCGGUGAAAUGCGUAGAUAUCGAGAGGAACACCUGCGGCGAAGGCGGGUUGCUGGGCUGACACUGACGCUGAUGCGCGAAAGCGUGGGGAGCGAACAGG
rnacentral:rRNA from 1 species